rnacentral:lncRNA from 1 species
AUUUUAGGUAUAAGCCACCAUGCCCAGCCAUGGCUCCUUUUUGUUUAACAGUCCUUACUUUGAUGGUCUCUCUUCUCACACAUUUUACUAUCAGCAACAAGAAAAAAUACACAUGAAAUAUUUAACACUUGGCCGGCAAUCUCCUUUGCUAGAUCAAUGAGUUAAUUAGGCAUUUUUUCUACUUUGUACAUAUCUGUGGAUAACAAAUUUGCUAAACUUUCUGCCAUUAUGUAACAAGGAUCUCCUUCCCUCUAGUUUCCAAGAAGAGUUUUCUAAUCUGUUAAGAUGUCACCUGCAGCCUCCUCAAAGGUUAUCUAUUAUGCUUCUAUAAAAAAUUUCUUCAAAGCUCUUCAAACUUUCAUUAACACUCUCCUCCAAGUUCUACCUUCUGUUCACUGCCAGUUUUAAAACCACACUUACAUUUUAGGUUUUUGCUAACACCCCACUUCUGAGUACCAAAAUGUAUACUGAUUUUCUAUUGCUGCAUAAUAAACUGCCCCAAAAUACAACAUGCAAAGCAAUAAAUAUUCAUUAUCUCAUGUAGUGUCUGAAGGUCAAAAAUCCGGAAGCAGCAUAGCUGAGUGGUUCUGAUUCAUUGUCUCUUGUGAAGUUAUCAGUCAAACCAUCAGCUGAGACUGUAAUCAUCUGAUGUUUUAACUAGUACCAGAGGAUACACUUUCACAUGCUAUUGGCAGGACACUUUAGUUCUUCACUAGCUGUUUAGCAGAAUACCGCACUUCCUCACCACAUGUACCUCUUCAUAGAGCUUCCUGGCUUCCUCUAAAACAAGUAAUCCAAGAGAGAAGCAGAAGCCACCAUGGUUUUUUAUGCCGUUGUUGACCUAGCCCCCAAAGUGACAUAUUAUUACACAGAUAUGUAGCCAACCUGUGGGUCACUGAUACGGUUUGGAUGUGUGUCCCCUCCAAAUCUCAUGUUGAAAUGUGAUUCUCAGUGUUGGAAGUGGGGCUGGUGAUAGGUGUUUGGUUCAUGAGGGUAGAUCCCUUAUGAAUGGCUUGGUGCUGUCUUUGUGGCAAUAAGUGAGUUCUCACUAUCUGAGUUCACACAAGAGCUGGUUGUUUAAAAGAGCCUGUCAUCUCUUUUGCUCCCUUUCUCACCAUGUGAUAUGCUGCUCCCCUUCUCUUCUGCCAUGAAGAAAAGCUUCCUGAGGCCUUCACCAGAAGCAGAUGCUGGUGCCGUGCUUCUACAGCCUGCAGAACUGUGAGCCAAAUAAAGUUCUUUCCUUUAUAAAUUACCCAGCGUCAGGUAUUGUUUUAUAGCAAUGCAGAACAGACUAACACAGACACACACACCAACCAAGUACAGUAUGAGAAGGGAUUAUUGGGUGCCAUUUUGGAGGUUGUCUACCACAGGAUUUUAUCUGUAUCAUUAUUCAAAUUUCGUUUUUGAAAAAUUUUGUAAGGGCACAUUUAUAGAAAUAUGAAUGCUUAAUAUUUGAUGAUAUUAGGGAAUUAAACCAUUUUUGUGUGAUAGUAAUUUUUAAAGAUUCCUUAUCUUUUAGAAAUACAUAUUGAAAUAUUUAGAGAUGUAGUGAUAUAAUGUCUGGGGUAUGCUUCAAGAUAAGAGUUGCAGAAAGUGGGUGGUAGUAUAAAUCAAGAUUGGUUAUGAGUUGAGAAUUUUUGAGUAAUAGGUAUAUGGGGACUAAGUAUUCUAUUCUUCAUACUUUUACAUGCCGUAAAUCCCCACUUAUCUGCAGGGAAUGUGUUCCAAGACCCCCAGUGGAUGCCUGAAACUGAGAAUAGUACUGGACCCUGUAUAUACUGUGUUUUUUCUUUCCUUAUUGAGAACUUUUAUGUUUUCACUUAAAGGAAGGACUUUACAGCUUCUCUUUCGCAUAUCCAAAUUGCCAGCAUCACCGCUCUUGCACUCCAAGCCAUUAUUAAGUAAAGUAAAGAACACAAACACUGUGAUACUGCUACACUUGAUCUGAUAACCAAGAAGUCUACUAAGUGACUAACAGAGCAACUGGGAACCUAAUUCUGACCAAAAAGGAGGAAUUGUUUGGCUAAUUGGAAGUGACAGAAACCUUGGGAGAAAGCAACCGCAUACCAAGGAUAAUUAUAAGAAGGUAACAUGGGCCCUAAAGGAUAGUGUCAAGAAACCUGAAACCCCCAAAUGAGGUGAGACUUGCAAAAAAUGCUAAGGAAGGACAAAAAACAGGCCUUUUAAAAUUCUGUUCAGAACCAGAAGAUGAUCAAGAAAGGGAAAUGCCCACUAGCAGCUUCUACUGUAAGGUUAGAGCUGACAGAGAAAGAACUCCUUAACUACUAUUUGCUUCAUUCUCUACAAAGGAAACUAGAGAAGUGGGUUGAUGUAAUAGAAAGAACAUGUGUUUGUGGGGCCAGGCAAACCUGGGUUUAAUUCUGUUUCAACACUGCUUAACAAAAUUUAUGGGAGGCUAUUGUUUUGGAUUGGGCUCCUGCACCAGGCCCCUCCGGACCAAACCAAAAUGGAGUCACUC